rnacentral:lncRNA from 1 species
GCGCUUCAAGCUCUCAAGUGUAAUCGACGCACUCGUGAUGAUUAUGAUUAAAAACAGUUUUUGACAAGACAUGCCGCGCCAAAUCCACACUGCGAUCACAUCAACCCUCUAAAGAAAGAAAUCCCCUCACUCAAUCCUCCCCAAUCCCAAAUUUCUGUCUUCAUCCUCUACCGUUACUGUAAUAAAACACCAUUACCAAGCUGUGCCGAUUCCUUCCAACUCAAGCCACUUCCAUAUCCUACCUCUUUUCUUCAACUACAUAACAUCCAGCCAACUUCCUAGUUGUUCACAGCAAGCUUUUUCCAAACUGAUCAGCCACUUGAAAUUUCUUCGGGGGCGGCACCAAUGGCGGCGACGACCGAUGAGAAGGCGG